rnacentral:sRNA from 1 species
ACGCCCCGCCAAGCCCCGCCCCUCAGGCCGGGGCGCGACCGCGGAUCCGCAGUUCCCGGGCCAGCCUGGGGCGGCCGGCCAGGAACCACCCGUUGAGGUGUCUUCUCUUUAGGGAUGGUGAGGUUGGAAAAAGGCUCCUGUAACCCUCCUCCAGGAUGAACCACCUGCCAGAAGACAUGGAGAACGCUCUCACCGGGAGCCAGAGCUCCCAUGCUUCUCUGCGCAACAUCCAUUCCAUCAACCCCACACAACUCAUGGCCAGGAUUGAGUCCUAUGAAGGAAGGGAAAAGAAAGGCAUAUCUGAUGUCAGGAGGACUUUCUGUUUGUUUGUCACCUUUGACCUCUUAUUUGUAACGUUACUGUGGAUAAUAGAGUUAAAUGUGAAUGGAGGCAUUGAGAACACAUUAGAGAAGGAGGUGAUGCAGUAUGACUACUAUUCUUCAUAUUUUGAUAUAUUUCUUCUGGCAGUUUUUCGAUUUAAAGUGUUAAUACUUGCAUAUGCUGUGUGCAGACUGCGCCAUUGGUGGGCAAUAGCGGUGAGUAUGCCCUGCAUGAGUGGGUCAUCUCCUCCAGUGCUGGUGGCCAAGUCCUGCUCUCAACAGGCCUGGGCUGGGAGAAGAUACAGUUCUAAUGCAGGUGGAAUCCCACUAGCUUUCCUGAGUCCCGUUUCCUCCAUACUUAAGUAGGUUUAAUACUCCAGGGCUUCUUUCCAAUGUUAAUGAGUAACUAGAUUUGUCUCUUGGUGCUGAGCCAAAUGAGGAAUCUAGAAGCCCAACAGUGAUUAUUGGCCAAGCACCAAGCCACCCUCUACCUCAUUUUGCAAAUAAGAGAUGAGAGGAGACCUCUGUCACAGAGAUAUUUGGAAAAUGUCUUAUUUGGUUGAAACUGCUUAGUGAUUGUUUUCAUGACAUGGUCCGUACUUAUUUAGGUAAUUGCCUUACCCCCUCCUUUCUUCCCCACAACCCCCUAUCUUGGAGGGAAAAGCUCUCAGUCUUUCUAUUGUUGCCUUGGACUUCUCAAGGACAAGGACUUUUUUACUUCUCUGUUUCCUGGCAUCUAGCACAGAGAGCUUUGGUAUUCUUAAUAAGCAUUUAGAGAUUGAUAGAAUUACUAGCAGUUCUGCCUGACAGAUGUCUGAAUAUUUGCCUUUUGUAAAGCUUUAAUAAGUCAGUUCUAUGGGAAGAAAAUGUGGAGCUCCUCAGACUAGAGAGAACUGCUCAGAAAUAACCUGCAGUUCUGCGAUUAGAGGGUGAGAGCUGGGGUCUGGGUGGCCCAGGCCUGGGUUUCUCCAGCUGGGAAUAGGACUUGUGCUGCCCUCCUGAGUCCACUAGGGGGCGAUGUCUGUCUGGGCCAUGUCUUCUGAGCAUUCUCAGAAUCACGGGGCAGCGGUCAGACCAUCUGUUAAUCCGGAAGCUCUCAUUUCAUGGAUAUAGGCUGACAGUCUUGGCCAGACUUGACUCCCUUUCCUGAAUACUCUUUUGCUGAUAUCAUCAUAGCUUUUGAUGAUUGUACCCUCCCAUUUUUCUGCAUUUUCUACAACAGAUCCCAUUGGGAUGUUAUAUUCCUGAGUCCCCAUAUGUAUGCUAGUAUUUGUCAGACCAUCCCUCUCAAUGUUUGUUUUAGAAAAGUGUUUGACAUAUAGAUAUUCAGUGAGAGCUGUAAGACAGUAUCUUCAAUAUCUGCUUUCAGAUUAUCUGAAGAAUAAGUCUAAUUUUAGCAAAUCAUUUUAUUGCUUCUGAUUCUUGUUUUAAAAAACAUUUGCAGAGAAGAGUCUAGAAGCUGGAAGGAGGAGAAGUCAGCUGGUAUUUAAAGAGUGCAUAGUGUGAGCCUGUAAAGUUAAUUAGUGUCAGAAUAUAAAAUGCUAAACUGCCUCCUCUCCCAAGCAACUGUGUGUGUGUGUGUGAGUGUGUGUGAGAGUGUGUGUGUGUGUGUGUGUCUUUGUUAAUACUUAUUGAGCAAGAUACUUGGUGUUCCCUGUCCUCCCUUCUGUCAGUCAAGCUACUAUUGGUAUUCAUUUUGGUUAGGUUUCACCAUGCUAAAAAUAUUAGUUGAAGGAACAGUGACAAGGCUCAGGUAUUAUGGUAUCUCUGGACUUCACAACCCCUGGCGAGAGCCCUACCUAUGCACUUUACCGGUCUCUUCAUGUGCUUGUAGAGGCUUUGGAAUUGUACCUUCUGGUGGAUCAAACUUAGUUACCUAGCACACCAGCCUGCUGAAAUGUGGGAGAAGAAACCACACACAGUCAUUUAGGGAUUGUGUCACAUGUAGAAGCCCAUUUUGCCCCAGUGUGGGUCUAGGGGAGAGAGACUGAGUGAUAUGGGAAGGAGCCAGGCUAGGCACAGGUUUUUCAGGCAUUGCCUGCUCCUGGCUCAGACGGGUCUCUUGUGAAGAGGGAGGUACCUUCACAGUGUGAGAUGCCUAGUGUGAACAGUGCUGGAUUAUGUGUCUUGCAGUUGACAACGGCAGUGACCAGUGCCUUUUUACUAGCAAAAGUGAUCCUUUCGAAGGUAUGGCCUACCACUUUUUCUAUACAGUUACCAUCUUCAGUGAUGAAGCCUCGUUUUUCAGUGUGAGUUUGUGGUAACUGCAUUUCCCUUUCCUGGUCAUAUCUUCCAGCUUUUCUCUCAAGGGGCUUUUGGCUAUGUGCUGCCCAUCAUUUCAUUCAUCCUUGCCUGGAUUGAGACGUGGUUCCUGGAUUUCAAAGUGUUACCUCAAGAAGCAGAAGAAGAAAACAGACUCCUGAUAGUUCAGGAUGCUUCAGAGAGGGCAGCACUUAUACCUGGUGGUCUUUCUGAUGGUCAGUUUUAUUCCCCUCCUGAAUCCGAAGCAGGAUCUGAAGAAGCUGAAGAAAAACAGGACAGUGAGAAACCACUUUUAGAACUAUGAGUACUACUUUUGUUAAAUGUGAAAAACCCUCACAGAAAGUCAUCGAGGCAAAAAGAGGCAGGCAGUGGAGUCUCCCUGUCGACAGUAAAGUUGAAAUGGUGACGUCCACUGCUGGCUUUAUUGAACAGCUAAUAAAGAUUUAUUUAUUGUAAUACCUCACAGACGUUGUACCAUAUCCAUGCACAUUUAGUUGCCUGCCUGUGGCUGGUAAGGUAAUGUCAUGAUUCAUCCUCUCUUCAGUGAGACUGAGCCUGAUGUGUUAACGAAUAGGUGAAGAAAGUCUUGUGCUGUAUUCCUAAUCAAAAGACUUAAUAUAUUGAAGUAACACUUUUUUAGUAAGCAAGAUACCUUUUUAUUUCAAUUCACAGAAUGGAAUUUUUUUGUUUCAUGUCUCAGAUUUAUUUUGUAUUUCUUUUUUAACACCCUACAUUUCCCUUGUUUUUUAACUCAUGCACAUGUGCUCUUUGUACAGUUUUAAAAAGUGUAAUAAAAUCUGACAUGUCAAUGUGGCUAGUUUUAUUUUUCUUGUUUUGCAUUAUGUGUAUGGCCUGAAGUGUUGGACUUGCAAAAGGGGAAGAAAGGAAUUGCGAAUACAUGUAAAAUGUCACCAGACAUUUGUAUUAUUUUUAUCAUGAAAUCAUGUUUUUCUCUGAUUGUUCUGAAAUGUUCUAAAUACUCUUAUUUUGAAUGCACAAAAUGACUUAAACCAUUCAUAUCAUGUUUCCUUUGCGUUCAGCCAAUUUCAAUUAAAAUGAACUAAAUUAU